GCUCGGACGGCGGGAAAUUUAAAUACUCCAAAACAUGUUUAAAGUUAGUUUUUAACGGUCACGACUUCCUGAGGUCUGUGAACACUAAGUUAUUUUUACUAUUUAAUCUACCGUAACCGUUGUGCACUACUACAUUUACAUGUCUAGCAUACGUAACCAAAAGCAAUGAACCACAUCAAAAAUAUCAAGGACAUGCUGAGCAUCCCCACUGGAACCAGGAAUGCUGCUACCAGCGGCUACUCCAGUUUAACAGACUCUCAGUUCUUCUUUGGGUCUCAGUUUUGGCCUGAAAAUUCUCAGGGCACCUCUCAGGAUAUGAGUUUGUCUUCCAGGAAUUCACAGCAAAGUUCACA